UACGUAGGGUGCGAGCGUUGUCCGGAAUUAUUGGGCGUAAAGGGCUCGUAGGCGGUUUGUCACGUCAGGAGUGAAAACUCGGGGCUCAACCCCGAGCCUGCUUCUGAUACGGGCAGACUGGAGGUAUGCAGGGGAGAACGGAAUUCCUGGUGUAGCGGUGAAAUGCGCAGAUAUCAGGAGGAACACCGGUGGCGAAGGCGCCACUCUGGGCCGAAACUGACGCUGAGGAGCGAAAGCGUGGGUAGCAAACAGG
rnacentral:rRNA from 1 species